UGCAAGUCGAGGGGAAACGACAUCGAAAGCUUGCUUUUGAUGGGUGUCGACCGGCGCACGGGUGAGUAACGCGUAUCCAACCUGCCCACCACAUGGGGAUAACCUUGCGAAAGUAAGACUAAUACCCAAUGAUAUCUCUAGAAGACAUCUGAAAGAGAUUAAAGAUUUAUCGGUGAUGGAUGGGGAUGCGUCUGAUUAGCUUGUUGGCGGGGUAACGGCCCACCAAGGCGACGAUCAGUAGGGGUUCUGAGAGGAAGGUCCCCCACAUUGGAACUGAGACACGGUCCAAACUCCUACGGGAGGCAGCAGUGAGGAGUAUUGGUCAAUGGACGAGAGUCUGAACCAGCCAAGUAGCGUGCAGGAUGACGGCCCUAUGGGUUGUAAACUGCUUUUAUAAGGGAAUAAAGUGAGUCUCGUGAGACUUUUUGCAUGUACCUUAUGAAUAAGGACCGGCUAAUUCCGUGCCAGCAGCCGCGGUAAUACGGAAGGUCCGGGCGUUAUCCGGAUUUAUUGGGUUUAAAGGGAGCGUAGGCCGGAGAUUAAGCGUGUUGUGAAAUGUAGACGCUCAACGUCUGCACUGCAGCGCGAACUGGUUUCCUUGA
rnacentral:rRNA from 1 species